GUUGCUAUGAUGAGCUGCUAACAUGUAAGGGGAACUCUCUCUGCUGAUUGCUUCUCCAAUGAAAAUUUCUUGUUACGCUUGGCUUCUGAGCUUA